rnacentral:rRNA from 1 species
UGGGGAAUUUUGGACAAUGGGCGAAAGCCUGAUCCAGCAAUGCCGCGUGUGUGAAGAAGGCCUUCGGGUUGUAAAGCACUUUUGUCCGGGAAGAAAUCCUUGGCUCUAAUACAGUCGGGGGAUGACGGUACCGGAAGAAUAAGCACCGGCUAACUACGUGCCAGCAGCCGCGGUAAUACGUAGGGUGCAAGCGUUAAUCGGAAUUACUGGGCGUAAAGCGUGCGCAGGCGGUUUGCUAAGACCGAUGUGAAAUCCCCGGGCUCAACCUGGGAACUGCAUUGGUGACUGGCAGGCUAGAGUAUGGCAGAGGGUGGUAGAAUUCCACGUGUAGCAGUGAAAUGCGUAGAGAUGUGGAGGAAUACCGAUGGCGAAGGCAGCCCCCUGGGCCAAUACUGACGCUCAUGCACGAAAGCGUGGGGAGCAAACAGGAUUAGAUACCCUGGUAGUCCACGCCCUAAACGAUGUCAACUAGUUGUUGGGGAUUCAUUUCCUUAGUAACGUAGCUAACGCGUGAAGUUGACCGCCUGGGGGAGUACGGUCGCAAGAUUAAAACUCAAAUGAAUUGACGGGGUCAUAGCUGUUUCCU